GCCCCAGUGGCCUAAUGGAUAAGGCACUGGCCUCCUAAGCCAGGGCUUGUGGGUUCAAGUCCCAUCUGGGGUG
rnacentral:tRNA from 1 species